rfam:Agrilus planipennis Contig61539, whole genome shotgun sequence.
AAAACGGCUCUUUUGAGAGCCACAAUUUUAUUCAAAAUCGGUUUAU